rnacentral:rRNA from 1 species
GAUGAACGCUGGCGGCGUGCCUAAUACAUGCAAGUCGAGCGAACGGACGAGAAGCUUGCUUCUCUGAUGUUAGCGGCGGACGGGUGAGUAACACGUGGAUAACCUACCUAUAAGACUGGGAUAACUUCGGGAAACCGUAGCUAAUACCGGAUAAUAUUUUGAACCGCAUGGUUCAAAAGUGAAAGACGGUCUUGCUGUCACUUAUAGAUGGAUCCGCGCUGCAUUAGCUAGUUGGUAAGGUAACGGCUUACCAAGGCAACGAUGCAUAGCCGACCUGAGAGGGUGAUAGGCCACACUGGAACUGAGACACGGUCCAGACUCCCACGGGAGGCAGCAGUAGGGAAUCUUCCGCAAUGGGCGAAAGCCUGACGGAGCAACGCCGCGUGAGUGAUGAAGGUCUUCGGAUCGUAAAACUCUGUUAUUAGGGAAGAACAUAUGUGUAAGUAACUGUGCACAUCUUGACGGUACCUAAUCAGAAAGCCACGGCUAACUACGUG